UGCACUAACCUAAUGAUUUGUUAGUCUUCAAGUUUGUUUUUUCUAGAUUCUACCAAUGUCUAAUGUAGUAAUUUGUGAGAGACUUAAACUGUGAACACAUCUCUCACCUACUUCAGAAAUUAAAUCUGAAAGAAUACUGCAGCUAAACUCUGUCUUUGUCAGACCCAUUACGAUGUGAAGAAACUAGUAUCUCCCUUUCAGAACGAGUAUGUAGGGGGCUAUUUGAUAAAAAUAAAUUCACUUGGACAGAGCAGGCACAGUCAGUCCUUCACCCCUUCUGAUCUUAGGGUGUGAUGAAAUAAAUGAUCCAUGUUGCUGUCUCUGCUGGCCGCUUGGUGAAACAACCAGUUUUGUCAUGCACAUUGACUAAGUCUUGGGGUAUGAAAAGCGACUACGGAAAGUCAUUCUGAGCACCUGCACACUUAAUCCCAUCUGGAAGCCACCAAAGCUAAUGGCUUGCUUCCUCCAGAAUAAUAGGCUGAGCUCUCCUUUGUACCAUUUGAGCCACAAGAAGUGUCUGCUAGUUGGGCUAAUUUGACAAAAAUAUAAAAUUGAGAGUGAACAAUACUGUAGUAAAACUCAGAGCAAGCUAUCAGAUUAGCCUAUAUAGAAAGUGGGUAUAUCAUUCAUUCUAACCUGGCUACAGUGUGGUACACAGACCAGCAACAUGGACAUCACCUGAGAACUUGAUGGAAAUGAUCGCUCCCAGCUGAUGCCUGUGCUCCUGCUCUUCAAAGUUAAUUUGAGUAGCAGAAAUUUAGUGCACAGUAUAAAUAAAACACUUUUAAACAAAUACAUUUUAUUCCAUUCAUUGCUAGCACUUUUCUUUUGCAAUAAAUACAUUCAACAACAAUAAGCUUAAAUAAAUAAAGUACAGUUUAAUAAAAACUCAAGUACUUCAUAUUUAUUUUACAAGAAAGUUGAUUCUAAACUGCUAACUUUCACAACACAUCUGGUAACUUUUAUUAUUUACCCAGACAAGUAUAGUAAUUACUAUAGAGGACACAAGUGUGAUAAGAAAUCUUCAAUAUCUACUUCAAAAGUUUCUUAUUCUUUAAGGAAGAUAGUGCUUCUAUCCAGAUAAUUGAGACAGGGAACUUUAAAAGGUACAUUUACAUAUUACUCUGUGAAGCAUGACUGCAUUUACAUCAGAAGGGGUUCCUCUAAAUAAUAUUCCAUAAUGAAGUUGGUUCCCAUGCAUGCUGUGACAGAGUUUUUGAAUUUUCUUUUAAAUCAUUGUUUAUAUGCCUUUCUAUACUGAUUAUUCUGUUCUUUGUUGCAUCUGAUAUACAUUUAGAUUAUGUCUUUGACAUUUGAGUUGCUUUGCAAACAUUUAAAAAUCAGACAGCCCCAGUGAAGAUUCCUCAUUUCAGUCUUUCUCAUCAUCUUGCUGUCCUCUACCGAUGAUACUGUGGAGGUUUGUGAUAAAACACUACUAAAUAUUAAAUCCUAUUGCUUACUAGGCCUUACUUGUAAUACAUCUUAUGUUUGUGUUAGUCAGUUUGCAUUGCUAUUAAGAAAUAUCUGAGCCUGGGUUAUGUAUAAAGAAAAGAGGUUUAUUUUGGCAUAUAGUUCUGCAGGUUGUACAGGAAGCAAGCUGUCAGCCUCUGCUUCCGGUGAGGCCUCAGGAAGCUUACAAUCAAGGCAGAAGGCAAAAAGAGCAGACAGUGCCACAUGGUAAGACAAGGAGUUGAGGGGAGAGGUCCCAACCUCUUUUAAAUAGCCAGAUCCCAUAUGAACCCACAGCAAGGUCUCACUCGUUAAUGUGGGGAGGACACCAAGUUAUUUAUGGGGGAUACACCCCCAUGACCCACGCACCUCCCACAAGCCCCCACCUCCAACAUUAGGGAUUAAAUUUCAUCACGAGAUUUUGAAGGGACAAGUAUCUACACAGUGUCAUUCCCUCUCUGUCCCCCAAUGUCUCAUGUCCUCUUCUCACAUUGCAAAAUUCAAUCAUCUUUCCAAUUGACCUCCAAAGGCUUAACUUGCUCCAGGCCCCCAAAAAAAGUCUAAAGUCCAAAAUCUCAUCUGGACAUGAGUUUGUUCCACCUAUGAGCCUGUGAGAUAAAAAAAAAAAAACAACUAUUUACUCCCAAGAUACAAUAGUGAUACAGCAUUGGAUAUGCAUUACCAUUCCACAAGGGAGAAAUCAGCCAAAAGAAAGGGGCAACAGUUCCCAUGAAAGUCUGAAACCCAGCUGGGGAGUCAUUAUGCUUUAAAGUUCCAAAAUAAUGUCUUUUGACUCCAUGUCCUGCUUCCACAGGCACACUGGUGCAAGGAGUGGCCUCCCAAAGCCUUCCUCAGCUCCUCCCCUGUGUCUUUCCAGGGUGCAGCCUCUGUGACUGCUUUCAUGAGUUGGAGUUGAGUGUCUGCAGCUUUGCUAAGAUCAGAGUGCAAGCUGCCAGUGGCUCUACUAUUUGGGGAUCCGAAGGGUGGUGGUUCCAGUAUCACAGCUCUUCUAGGCAGUGCUGUGGUAGGUACUCCAUGGGAGGGACCAAUCUCAUAUUUCCCCUUGGCACUGCCCUAGUAUAAUGUUUCUGCAGGGGUUUCUGUUAGGCUUCUGCUUGAAUACCCAGGCUUUUUCAUACAUCCUCUGAAAUCUAGUUAGAAGCUGCCAAGCCUCUUUCAUGCUUGCAUUCUGAGCACCUGCAGACUUAAUGCCACCUGGAAGCUACCAAAGCUGAUGGCUUACACCCUCCAGAAGAGUGGGAUGAGCUGUACUUGAAGCCAUUUGAUCAACAGCAGGAAUUGGAGCAGUAGGGAUGACUCAUCGAUCUGCAAGCUGUACAGAAAGCAUGGCACCCGCAUCUGUUUCUGGUAGGAACUAGUGAACUGCAAGCAAAAUUGUUGGUUUCUGGACUGAUGCAUUAUGUAAAUAACAAAUAUUUGGAUCCAGCUUCCCAAUUGCGGGUUGGCCUAUGAUAAAUGCAGUUCAUUUUGUUUUCAAUGUCUGAAAUGGACGUAGUGCUCAGGACACAGUGAUUAAGCCCGGCUUUCAUCUAAUAUUUCCUAAGGACUUCCUAUGGGUCAAGCAGCAUUCCAGGUGAAAGGGUACCCUGAAAAAGCAAGACAUAAUUUUUACUCUUACCAGGUGCAUAGGCUAGAAGAAAUAAUAUUGAAUAAAUCAGUAUGUCAAAAUCUAUACAAUCUGAAAUGUUUUAAAAAUAAAUUUGAGCAAAUCUAAAAGAAUAUUUCUUAGAAUGUGUAUCAUUCUAGUCAUAUCUGUUUUCUGCUACUGGAUCCUAUUAAAUUCAUUUUGAAGCUUUUCCUUCUAUUA